rnacentral:rRNA from 1 species
UCCCGCACAAGCAGCGGAGCGUGUGGUUUAAUUCGUUGCUACACGAAGAACCUUUACCUGGGUUUGACAUAGCAGUGGUAGGAAGCGAAAGCGGACCGACCCUUCGGGGAGCUGUUACAGGUGUUGCAUGGCUGUCGUCAGCUCGUGUCGUGAGAUGUUCGGUUAGGUCCGCUAACGAGCGCAACCCGCGUUUGUGUGUUACAAGUGUCACACAAUACCGCCGGUAUUAAGUCGGGGAAGGUGCGGAUGACGUCAAGUCAGCAUGACCUUUAUAUCCAGGGCUACACACACGCUACAAUGGUCAGCACAAUAGGUUGCCAAGUCGUGAGACGGAGCCAAUCCUCCAAAGCUGGCCUCAGUUCAGAUUGUAGGCUGCAACCCGCCUGCAUGAAGUUGGAGUUGCUAGUAACCGCAGGUCAGCUAUACUGCGGUGAAUACGUUCCCGGGGAUU